CCUACGGGAGGCAGCAGUGAGGAAUAUUGGUCAAUGGGCGGAAGCCUGAACCAGCCAAGUAGCGUGCGGGAUGAAGGCCCUACGGGUCGUAAACCGCUUUUGCACGGGGAUAACACCCUCAACUUGUGGAGGUCUGCAGGUACCGUGCGAAUAAGGGCCGGCUAAUUCCGUGCCAGCAGCCGCGGUAAUACGGAAGGCCCGAGCGUUAUCCGGAUUCAUUGGGCUUAAAGGGAGCGUAGGCGGGCGUUCAAGUCAGCUGUAAAAUCGCGCGGCUCAACCGCGCCCCGCAGUUGAAACUGGACGCAUUGAGUUCACAACAGGCAGGCGGAAUUCGUGGUGUAGCGGUGAAAUGCAUAGAUAUCACGAGGAACCCCGAUUGCGAAGGCAGCCUGCCGGGGUGCGACUGACGCUGAGGCUCGAAGGUGCGGGUAUCAAACAGGAUUAGAUACCCCAGUAGUC
rnacentral:rRNA from 1 species